CCGUCCCUUCGGGGUGCCGGCGAGCGGCGAACGGGUGAGUAAUGCAUCGGAACGUGCCCAGGCGUGGGGGAUAACCCAUCGAAAGGUGGGAGAAUACCGCAUGUGACCUGAGGGUGAAAGCGGGGGACUGGAAGGCCUCGCGCGCUUGGAGCGGCCGAUGUCCGAAGAGAGAGUUGGUGGGGUAAAGGCAGACCAAGGCGACGAUCGGUAGCGGGUCUGAGAGGAUGAUCCGCCACACUGGGACUGAGACACGGCCCAGACUCAGACGGGAGGCAGCAGUGGGGAAUCUUGGACAAUGGGGGAAACCCUGAUCCAGCCAUUCCGCGUGGGUGAAGAAGGCCUUCGGGUUGUAAAGCCCUUUCGGUCGGGACGAAAUCGUGUGGGUGAAUAGUCUGCAUGGAUGACGGUACCGGAGGAAGAAGCACCGGAGAAAGACGUGCCAGCAGCCGCGGUAAUACGUAGGGUGCGAGCGAGAAUCGGAAAGACUGGGCGUAAAGCGUGCGCAGGCGGCCUUGCAAGACAGAUGUGAAAGCCCUGGGCAGAACCGAGGAAUUGCGUUUGUGACUGUGAGGAGAGAGUGUGGCAGAGGGGGGUGGAAUUCCUGGUGUAGCAGUGAAAUGCGUAGAGAAGAGGAGGAACACCGAUGGCGAAGGCAGCCCCCUGGGCCUGCACUGACGCAGAGGCACGAAAGCGUGGGGAGCAAACAGGAAGAGAUACCCUGGUAGUCCACGCCAGAAACGAUGCCAAAGAGCCGUUCGGGGAGGAGACUUCUUGAGUGGCGAAGAGAACGCGUGAAGUUGGCCGCCUGGGGAGUACGGCCGCAAGGAGAAAACAGAAAGGAACUGACGGGGACCCGCACAAGCGGUGGAUGAUGUGGAAGAAUUCGAUGCAACGCGAAAAACCAGACAGACCCUUGACAUGCCUCGAACCCUGGAGAGAUCUGGGGGUGCCCGAUGAGGGAGCGGGGACACAGGUGCUGCAUGGCUGUCGAGAGCUCGUGUCGUGAGAUGUUGGGAGAAGUCCCGCAACGAGCGCAACCCUUGCCAAGAGUUGCCAAGAUUGAGUUGGGCAAGAGAAUGGGACUGCCGGUGACAAACCGGAGGAAGGUGGGGAUGACGAGAAGUCCAGAUGGCCCAGAUGGGUAGGGAGAGACACGAGAUACAAUGGUCGGUACAGAGGGUUGCCAACCCGCGAGGGGGAGCCAAUCCCAGAAAGCCGAUCGUAGUCCGGAUUGCAGUCUGCAACUCGACUGCAUGAAGUCGGAAUCGAGAGUAAUCGCGGAAGAGCAUGCCGCGGUGAAUACGUUCCCGGGUCUUGUACACACCGCCCGAGACACCAUGGGAGUGGGGUUUGCCAGAAGUGGGUUGUAGAACCGUGAGGGGGACGCAGACCACGGCAGGAGAGAUGACUGGGGUGAAGUCGUAACAAGGUAACCGUAA
rnacentral:rRNA from 1 species